rnacentral:rRNA from 1 species
UACGUAGGGUGCAAGCGUUAAUCGGAAUUACUGGGCGUAAAGCGUGCGCAGGCGGUGAUGUAAGACAGGUGUGAAAUCCCCGGCUUAACCUGGAACUGCAUUUGUGACUGCAUCGCUGGAGUGCGGCAGAGGGGAUGGAAUUCCGGCGUGUAGCAGUGAAAUGCGUAGAUAUGCGGAGGAACACCGAUGGCGGAAGGCAAUCCCUGGGCCUGCACUGACGCUCAUGCACGAAAGCGUGGGGAGCAAACAG